rnacentral:tRNA from 1 species
GGAGAGAUGGCUCAAGGGUUAAAGAGCACUGGCCUUUCUUCCAGAGGACCUGGGUUCAACUCCCAGCACCUACA